GACGAACGCUGGCGGCGUGCUUAACACAUGCAAGUCGAACGCUGAAGCUUGGUGCUUGCACUGGGUGGAUGAGUGGCGAACGGGUGAGUAAUACGUGAGUAACCUGCCCUUGACUCUGGGAUAAGCCUGGGAAACUGGGUCUAAUACUGGAUACGACAUGUCACCGCAUGGUGGUGUGUGGAAAGGGUUUUACUAGUUUUGGAUGGGCUCACGGCCUAUCAGCUUGUUGGUGGGGUAAUGGCUCACCAAGGCGACGACGGGUAGCCGGCCUGAGAGGGUGACCGGCCACACUGGGACUGAGACACGGCCCAGACUCCUACGGGAGGCAGCAGUGGGGAAUAUUGCACAAUGGGCGGAAGCCUGAUGCAGCGACGCCGCGUGAGGGAUGACGGCCUUCGGGUUGUAAACCUCUUUCAGCACGGAAGAAGCGAAAGUGACGGUACGUGCAGAAGAAGCGCCGGCUAACUACGUG
rnacentral:rRNA from 1 species